rnacentral:rRNA from 1 species
UACGUAGGGUGCGAGCGUUGUCCGGAAUUCCUGGGCGUAAAGAGCUCGUAGGUGGUUUGUCGCGUUGUUCGUGAAAACUCACAGCUUAACUGUGGGCGUGCGGGCGAUACGGGCAGACUGGAGUACUGCAGGGGAGACUGGAAUUCCUGGUGUAGCGGUGGAAUGCGCAGAUAUCAGGAGGAACACCGGUGGCGAAGGCGGGUCUCUGGGCAGUAACUGACGCUGAGGAGCGAAAGCGUGGGGAGCGAACAGG